rnacentral:rRNA from 1 species
UACGAAGGGGGCUAGCGUUGCUCGGAAUCACUGGGCGUAAAGCGCACGUAUGCGGCUUUUUAAGUCAGGGGUGAAAUCCUGGGGCUCAACUCCAGAACUGCCUUUGAUACUGAGAAGCUUGAGUCCGGGAGAGGUGAGUGGAACUGCGAGUGUAGAGGUGAAAUUCGUAGAUAUUCGCAAGAACACCAGUGGCGAAGGCGGCUCACUGGCCCGGUACUGACGCUGAGGUGCGAAAGCGUGGGGAGCAAACAGG